GUAAGCACCGAAAAUAAGACAAGAAAAAGUUUUCUUAUCCUCAAUUUCAGUUCUGCUGCUUCUUUAAUUAAGGAUUAUCAGCCAGGUGAAGUUCGAGCUUCAAUGUGCACCUUGAGUUGUUGCAGCCAGUCAGUAAAAUGUGUGAUCAAACUGAGCUUUUGCAUGCAGUCUUUGGUGCCGGUGUUAUCCUGAAGUGUGGAAGAGCUAUAGCAAUGCUUCCAGUUUUAUGGGAUCAAUCAUGUGUGAAUCGAUGCUGGACAACCUGCUGCAAAAGCCAGUCACGUCUGUCGAAUACGCCCACCGAGAUCCCCGAACAACUUUUUACCGGAGAUUACGAAACAAACCGCCGGAAAAAAGAGACCUUCUACUAAAAAUUCAGCUCGACCGUAUUUCGAAGACCAACGACACGAAAGUGCGCGUCUUCAUCACGUGACGGAGCGCGACGACCAGGGAUAGAUGGUGAUCGAAGUGGUCAUGUUUUAAAAAAAGACGAUUGUCCUUCAAAUGGUUCGAAAUGGAAGAUUUAAUCAUUCACCGAAGAAACAAGUCGUUGACUCCUACCAAAUGACUCAAAUGUCAAUUGGUAUAAAACCCAUCCCCAGCAUCGUCAACCUGCAGAAGGAAAGGCCAUUGCAAUGUCUUUCACUUUCGAAGGUCACGGAGAUCAUUAAUACGUAAAACGUGUCAUGCAGUGUGUGAAGAGUGCAUGUCAUGAAGAGGUUGGGUGAGAACGACACGUGUUUCAUCAUUAUCAAGCAAGUACAAUAGCCGCAAGGCUUAAGAGGUGGAGGGAUGAAAAAAAUUGUAUAAAAGGAGAGAGAAAAGGCAAUUGAAAUAAGUCGAGCGAGCAUCUCCGACACGGCAACAACUGCGGCGCACUAUCUGUCACCAACUGCCUUCUUCUUCGUGUUAAAUCAGUUCGCAAUCAUGGCAACAGCAGCGCAAAAGUACUACACCACGUCAUCGCCUUACUACACAACAACGUCAACAUACGUAACACCUGCCUAGUACACCGAGGCCCUCAAGUACUACAUCACUAAGGAUGCAGAGUAUUACAUGAAAACUUACGCUGCUCCCAGCUACUACGCCAAAGCCCCGAAGUAUUACUCUGCCUCAACUUACAUCACCAUCGAACGCAGUACAUCACCUGAGUACUACACCACCAAAGCACCUAAGUAUUAUAC